rnacentral:rRNA from 1 species
CCUACGGGAGGCAGCAGUGAGGAAUAUUGGGCAAUGGGGGCAACCCUGACCCAGCCAUGCCGCGUGAGUGAAGAAGGUCUUCGGAUUGUAAAGCUCUUUCGGACGUGACGAUGAUGACGGUAGCGUCUAAAGAAGCACCGGCAAACUUCGUGCCAGCAGCCGCGGUAAUACGAAGGGUGCGAGCGUUGUUCGGAUUUAUUGGGUUUAAAGGGUGCGUAGGCGGUCCGUUAAGCCAGCGGUAAAAUUGCGGGGCUAAACCCCGUCGAGCCGUUGAAACUGGCAGACUUGAGUUGGCGAGAAGUACGCGGAAUGCGCGGUGUAGCGGUGAAAUGCAUAGAUAUCGCGCAGAACUCCGAUUGCGAAGGCAGCGUACCGGCGCCAGACUGACGCUGAGGCACGAAAGCGUGGGGAUCGAACAGGAUUAGAUACCCUUGUAGUC